rnacentral:lncRNA from 1 species
UAUAUAUUUAUAUGAAGAAGAAUAAAAGAUCUAGCUCAGUGGCAAUGGAUUUUUCCUAGGAAAAAAUCCUGCUUCUGACUGCAGUGGAGAGGUUGAAAUCCAUUAGAUCUACCUAAAAGACAGAACUCAAGCCUCUGACAUCAGACUGCAGUUACCAGUGGCUUGGAUGAAAUGCUUAUCAAGGAAGCUUCUAUAAAUGGGAGAAGUAGCAAAGCUGAACGGGAUUGGCACGUGGUGGUCAGGACUGAGUGGUUCCACUCAGAAAGGUUCAAGUCCUCAUCUCACUUUCUUACAGAAAAAACACAAGUGAUCCUUAGCUUUAAAAAUAAUUUUUAAAAAGCCUAUCUUUUGACUGAGAAAAUGCUCGUUUAAAUCCUUGCCAUCAUGAGGGGCUUCUUUUUCUGUCUGUAAAAUGGGAAUGUCUCUUCCAUCCUGCCGAGAAGAGUAAGUGAAUGCUCCCUACUGGAAUCUACAGCGGAUACGGUCUUGUGGUGUGUUCGGCAGAGCCUUCUGUCACAGCAGGAAGAAAUCCUGCCACAAUGUGGAGCUAAUGCUUCUGAAGUCAUUUGGAGCCGUACUUGGAUUUUGUGCUGCUCAGGGUCUGUCACACUGUGUACUGGGCAGAAAGUGGGAGUGAGGAGCAUUGUGGGUGUUCAGUGGUGAUGGAACAGGUGUGGCCAUUGUAAGUCCCUCUGCUUCGACAGCUGUGCUAAUGGACCUUCUGCUGUGGCUUCCUGCCAAGGGCUUAAAUGAACUAAGGACCUUUCAGGUUUCAAAGUACACCUGUUGCUAUGUUCUCGAGGCUGGUGCACAUGUACAGUGCAGCUGAUUACAGGCUGACGGGGAGGCUGGGGGGCCGGGCUGCACGACACGCUGUCUGCUGCAGCUGGAGACUGUCGGGAGCUCCUCUGGUGUCGACGCAUCCCGGCCGGCAGAGUGCUGCCUGCUGCUCUGCAGCGCUGCCUGUGCCGAAUCGGCUCCGAGGGGGAAUUCCUCUGUGCCGCCGGUAGGCUGCAUCCUGCGCUGUUACCGGGCGGGGCUUCUUUAAAAAUCACUGCGUGCAUCACCGGAUCCACUGACACGGACUAUCUUUAACUAUGGGAAUAUUCUUCUGCAGCCAUCUCUGCAAUGAACCGCACUCAGUGCCCUACUUCCCUUGCUCAGGGAGGCUCUGAGGGUGAAUCUGGUCAGGUAUAGCAGAGGCAGCAGUGCUCACAGCAUCCAGACGCUUCAUGAGCCUCACUGCAGUAACUACAGCCUGCCUUACCAGACGCUCGGGGGGGGUGGUUUGAAAUAAUUGUAAGGAGUGCUGUUACAUUUUUAACGUUUCCCUUCUCUUCUGUUAUAUGGGUCAGAGCCUGUGUUCUAAAGUGCAGCCUGAAUUGCCUCUGAAAUCAGAAAUGUAAAUGCCUCAUGAUGCGCCAAAUUAUUUCCUUUCCUUUUCAGAUGUUCUCAUUCUCCCUUUCUUUGACUUCUUAAGGUGAGCAACCCCUGGGGUGUUCUGCUGUACUGCUGAUGCUUAGCAUAUGGAAGCUGAGAAACAGAUGUAUGCGAUGAGGGCCGCUCUGACGAUCGUCUGUCAAACCAUGGGCAGCACCAGGAGGAGCACCCCGGGUCUUCUGGCUCUCUGUAGCCCACCCUGAGCACUGCAGCCUGCCUUCUGCUGCACAUGGUGUGAUUCAUAAUGCAGAGGCUCUGCUGUAAGCUGGCUGCCUCUUUGUGAGCUGCCACUGCUGCAGCAGAGAAAAGCGUUUGAGCUCAGGCAGCAAAGAGAUUGUGCAUGUCUAGCAAAUAGUCAGAACUCCAGAAACAGUGCUUAACAGAUUAUCUUAUCUUGGGAUAAUCUCAUAAAGCAUACUGACUGGUUAAAACUACGCUUUGAAGUUUGCAGCAAACAUCUCAAAUCUUUACCCUUUGUGACUGUGGGCUUUUUGUUUGUUGUUUCCUCCAUUGUCUGUACAAAAAUACCACUUCACGUAUUCUUUUUGAUAGUCUGUGUUCUAGCCUUUCUGGAAAAGUACCAAAUCAUUAAUGGGUAUUCGUUGCUUUUAGUUGUGCUUCUCAGUGCUAACCCUAUUCCUGCUAUUUGCAGUUUGUUUAGGCUAUGUUUAGGCACAUGCAAAUGUAAGUGGUUAUUCAGCGCCUUUGGCGUUCUGAACAGAAUGUCCUGAACUCCCGUGGCUCCUUACAAAGCCUCAGCCUCCAGCACUAACAAAGCCUGUGACGGCAGCAGCUGAAGCAUGAGAACUACCUGCCCUCGACAGGGUGAAUUCGGAGAAUCUGGGAAGGUUGUAGACCAUGAUCUCAUGCAUGCUCUGCCUGCAGCACUGGAGCUGGGCUGAUGCAGCAUUGCAUGCGGUGUGUGGAUUCUUCUGCAGCAUGAAGUUUUUCUCUGGCUGCAUCAACACUUGGGUUCAGUGUGUUCCUGAAUUAUAAUGGAGACUUCUACAAAUAAUGCAGUAACUGGAAGUGAAGCGAAACCGUGUGAUGCUGCGGCCUCCCAAGUAUCUGCUGGCAGCAGCCUGGGAUUUUUACAGUUGUUUAUCUUGUUGCUCAGCCUAUUUUAAGCUCUGGUGGACCAACAACAGCAGAGUAACGACAGAUCACAGUGCUGGGCACAACUGUUUAGCUCCUAAAACCCAUGCUUUAAGCUUCAGACUUGCUUUAUAUUGUCAUGUGUUCAGUAGCUUCAGACUUGUGGCUUCAGGCUCGUAUGCUCUUUGCUGGCUCUUGCAUGAUGUGAGGGAGCCCUGAUUCACCCCGAGGAGUGUGGUGUAUCCAGGCAAGAAAGAGGCUGCAGCAGUGAUGGAAAGCGCACGCUGUGCAGGGCAGGGCCCAACCUCAUCCUUGGUCCAGCUCCCACGAUGGAGAUACAAAGAGGUUUUUAUCUCCCAAGUCUUCUUAUUGGAUCUUCUUUAUCAUCUGUUCAUUUGUGCCAGAGUCAAUUAAUUUCUUGGGUUUACUGAGUAGGUAGUACACUGUGUAAGACUUUAAUAGGGAGCAGUAUAGGAUAAAUCUCUCCUAUCCUGGAAAUGAUUCAGCUUCUAAUGCUGAUUCUGUACUCAUCUGACUCUGGUACACUGAUUACAUGGUCUCCUACCACACAAAAUAUUCUAGAAGUGGUGCUCUGCAUUUUCCUCUGUCUCCAGACUUGGGACUUCUGAGAGCAGCUUGUCCUGCAGGCUCAGCUCCCUGUUUUUUGGUGGAUUAGGUGCAUUUGUGGUUACUGACAAGUUUAGGUUCAUUGCAUUUGCUUUAACGCUGUGUGGAGCAGGACAGAAAGCUUGUUGAUUCUUGUAAUGAUGGAGCCACAUAAUGGAUGGAGCCAGGACAGGAAUGUUCCCCAUCUGGGGGGAAAAGCAGAACCGUCAGUGUCAUGAAGUCAUGCUGGGGAGUAAAAGGAAGUGCACAGCUGGAGAGGUGGGACAGAGGGGAGGUGGGGGGAUGUGAUGGCUGUACCUCAUCUACUUCAGGUAAUCACCACAAAAGCUCAGGAAAGUAAAUUGCCAAGCUUGUUUCCUUACCCUCACUUCACAUUUUUGUGUGGUAAAGGAAAUCACAGGGCAUUUAGCUGCUCCGUUUCAUACGGCUACUUUUCAAGCCCUGUGCAGAUAACUAAUACUCAAAAUAUUAACACAGAUUUGCUGUAAUUUGAAAUCCAGUUUCUACCCAUACAUUGUCCUACCCUUGGGUUAUAAUGGCUAAACUUUCAUCAGAACUCACCCUUUAUUUUGUUUCCAAACUGCUGAUGCACAUGCCUGUCAGGGGCAGCUGUGCACUGCAGGCAUACACAGAAGACAUGGAGGGCAGGAGCAGACCUCUGCAGCUGGGAGUCCGUGCUGGGGCCUCUGGGCACUGUGCAAAUUGGCUCCAGGGACCUCGUGUGUGUGUGAAAGGAAAUCAUGUUCUGCACCGAAGUAAGAUCAUGGCUACUGAAAUCUCUAUGCUGCGUGCAAUGCAGAUUAGGAAGAAAUCCGGAGCAGCUGUUACAUUACAGGAAACUGCAGUUCGUCCUGUCGUGGCCUAAGAGCUUGUUACUGUGGGUGCUGUUUUCCCCAGAAGAGCCUUGCAUGCAGGCAGCAGGCAAACUGCUGCAGUUCAGCCCAGUGCAGGUCUGUAAGACCCCCAGUGCUGGCUUUUCAGUCACUGAAGCAAUCUUGUUGAACCAACUUUAAUGAGAAACCUAAACAAUUUGUUCAUUUAAAAAUCUGCCUAAUUGUGUCUGUUCUAGAAUGCAGCCAAAUGAACCAAAAGUAGUGCGAACAGCAAGUUAUCUUGUUCUUUGCUGGGCUGAUCAUGGAGAAAGAGAGAGAGAGAAUUUGCUGCUGUCUCCUCUGCACCGCUGAGCUCAUGCCUGGGACAGCUGCACAUCGUGGGCCCAGGAGGGCACUGAGUGUUUCAGUCCUCCACAGCUCUGAAGCCACGCUCAAACCAUGCAGUAGCAGGGAGAGGAGAUCCCAGAGUGGGGGUCCCGCGGCCAUCUGCCCUACCUGCUCUUCCCAGCAGCAGCACAGCCUCAAUCCAGCCCCUCGGAAAGGAAGAAAAACACACUUUUUGCCCUCAGAAACUAGGAAAAGCCAAAGAAAUCUCUCUUUAGGACAAGGCCGAUGCUGUAUCCUGUCUUGUUUUUACUAAGUCAGAUCUUUUUUUCCACUGGAUCUUACUCUCGUGUGUGUUUUGUUGCUGUGUCCUUCUGUUGUUUUCAGCUUUCUGCCGCAAGAUGUGGAACUGUCAGAUUCCCAAUCAGAUCAACACCUUUAGGAUUUGUUUGACUUCCAAUACGCCUUCCUGAAGUUAUUGCUGACUAACGCUGUGAAAUCAUCAGUUUUUUAUUUUGAAUGUCUAAAACACCGUAAGAUUUCUUGAGGCUACUUCUCACAAAGAGAUUGCAGUUGGUGUCCUUUGCUCAUUAUUACAGGAUGUGAGUCAUUUUGAAGAAAGAGGGGGGGGAGGACAAACAAAAACCCUAUUUUUCUCAAAGCUCUGAAAAUAUAUUUUGUCCCUGAUCUGAGCUGUAGUUUGAUGUGAAUAUGAGAGAAGCCAGGGCUGGCUGGGAGCUCUGCUGGCCCUGAGAUGCACAGAGCACGUGUCCUGCAGCAGCUGGCUGUGGGGUGAUGGCCCUCCUUACUCAGAGGAUGGGUACAUCCCUGGGCUGUAAUGUGAUAUAUCUUGAGCAGCUGAACACUUUGGAGCUUGCGAAGAACAAUACAGAGGGGCUGGAUUUUGUUGCGUUUUGAGCUCUUCCUGGAGAAAACAAAUGGAGUACUGUGGGUAUUUUUUUUUUAUUUGUGUAAUCUUGAGGCAGAGUAUCACAUAUUGCAGAGGAUGAUUGAAGCAGACAACGUUUGUGCUGGUUCCCAGUAUGGAAAAUGUGAACAAGACAAUUCUGCAUCACCUUUCCUUUCUGGGACCUGGUGUAGGGACACUCUUUGGGAGGAGUGCUGUGAAUCAACCUCAUCUGUCAUCUCCAGGAGAGCGUCUGUAGGGUGAGGCGUGUUUCACAUGAGUAUGCUCCUCCUCCUACUGCCGUGCAACGUACACACAGCCUUCCUUACUGCUGGCUGCUGGAGCACAUCAUGUACUUCGGUCUCUUUGCUUGGAGUGUUUUUGGCAAUAACUGGAGCUAAGUUACCCUGCUGCCGGCUGCCUGCAGUUCCACCACCCUGUUCAUUUGUAUCCUCCCUUUAAUGAACAAGAGAAUACUUACGAAAAUACAGUUGAUGAGUUUCUUAAUCACCUGUCUGUAAAUCACUUUCCUUCUCUGAUUUGUAAUUUCUCUAUGCUUUUUUCCAUCUUUCAUGUAGUGACCCUGGUUCUCCUCCUGUUUUUCAGCAGCAUGACUCUACUGCACACAAAGAGAUGAUGGAGGGGUUGGGCUGGUAUAAGUAAGGAAGACCCAGUCCACAGGUAGUUUUGUGCUUUUACAGCUACCUGAAGUAAUGUGAGGAAAUGGCUGUUGUCACACGCUCACGUUUCUGCAUUCUGUUGGCUGAGUUUGGGGGAAUUAUGUAGAGCAGUUGCACUGCAGCAAGCAGUGUGCUAGUGGAAGACUCUCCUGUGCUUCUGUGGCUUCAGGAAACUCAUCUGCUAAACUGGGAGCUGGUGGGCAGAACUGAUCCCGGUGCCGUUGCAGUGCAGUGUCACUGCCUGUGGAUGGCUGCCCUCAGCCAGCAGUUGCAGCAGAUGAAUAGCUGGCAGGAAGGUAACAAGCAACAAACAGACACCGCCUCGUGGCUGUUUUCCCAGUGCCCAGAUGUAUGGUGUGCUCCGGGACGAUGGGGACCUCCCUCUCUGCUGCAGUAGACACAUCUAUUAUUAGCUCAGUGGCAGCUUUCCAUAUGCCAACACUCGUGUCUGCAGGACUGUUUAAUUUUCACUUCUCCAAAGUACUUAAUUUGUCAGCUGUUGGCUUCUGUUCAUUAAAGACCAAACUUCAAAUUCCUCUAUUUUUUUCUGCUGGAGCUGAAUUACAGAUCCUAUCUGAACAGACCAUCGUACCUAUGCAGAAUUAGGGGCAGGAUGAUGUCUUAAAUCCAGAAAGUCAGCCUAAGGCUACUACCAGGAAAAAAAAAAAACCUGUCUCUGGAAAUGGCCGCCCAGUCUCCAUUUUUCUGUUAAUUUCCAUUCGGAGAAAGGAGAAAUCAGUUCUGCCAAAAGCACUCCCUAGCUGUGCUUCGGUGCCGGGCUGGGGAUGUGGCACACAGCUGCCAGUGCCCCUCUGCAGGCGCUGCCACUUCUCUGGUGGCUGAGGAUGGUGCUGCCAUGAGUUAAUCACCCACCAAUUCACUGCUGGGGGCCUCUCUUUAAUUAUUGAAUGUCACAAUAGAGGUAUAUUGCAUUACCUUGCUGGUAAAUAUCAUUUUCAGCAUCUCAUGUAACUCUAUAAUAUUCUCAGUUUUCCUACUUGCAUAACAUUAAAUCUUCAAAGAAUCUAAAAAUGUCCCACUAUAUUUUUAUAUGUUGCUUAUAUAGCAGUGUGUGUUUCCAGAGAAUUAUAUGCUGACUUUGAAGAUGGCCUUCCUGGCAGUUGGUACUGUAUGAUUACUUCUGUUGAAAGCCGGGCCUCUACUUGGAUGUGCAGUGGAAGGAAGCAGCAUGUGCACAGUGCUUUAUCAAGCAAAUGGACAAACACACCCCAGAACAGCAGCCAAAUGUCGGUCUCACUUACAGAAGCUGAACUGGUGUGAUCGUACAUCAGCUCUGUUUCAGCUGGGGUAACAGAGAGCAGAGAUUCUGGUGCCUUAAGGAUCCCUCUGAGAGAAGACCACUGAGAAAAGAUGUCAAUGCUCCGCAGCAGCUGGGGGGUAGGCAGUGAAAUCCUUCUGUGAGCUAUAUAUCCACCUUGCCUUUUUCUGCUCACGCAUAAUUUUAAGCAGCACGCUUCCUCAGAAUGAUUGUAGGGUUGAUGAAUAUGACUGUCAAAAUAUAUACAAAAUUGAGUUACAAUAUAAUGUAGCUUUUGGAUGUUAAACAGUCUCAAAUAACAAGCAUUCCUAUAUUAUUUUUUCUUAUGUGAGGAAAAACCUCUUUGAUUUUCACUGCUUUGAAAAAUCUCCUUGUGCUGCUCCUUCCCUUCCCAAGGAAGGAAAACGUGAGCGGUAAUGGGUAUCCUGCUCUGCUCCAUCCAGAGGACGUGGAAAGCUUCGUGCCAGCUCCUCUGGAUGCCCGUGAGUGCUUCUGAUCCCGCAGCAUCCUUCAGCUGAAAGCUGGUGGGCCCUGGAGCCCAGCACUGCCUGGUGCUGCCCUGCUCUGUGAUCCUGGUGCUAUUCUGGCAGCUGCAGGAGGACAGCACUCCUCCACCUGCUUGUGUUUCAGGGUGAGAUGUUGUUAUCUGUAUUCCUACUCCCCAACUACUGAGAAUGAACGAUCUUUGUUACUUGGUGUGGAUCUUUUUGUCUUUUGGAGAUCAUCUGUUUGAGUUUGUGAGGAAUGUGCUUCCUUUGUCAUCGCUCGCCUUGCUCCACAGGAGUGGUUUGUUUCCAAGGACCUGAUAUUAGAUUUUGGUGGUCAGCAAAACCUGGUACCCAGCUGUUGUAGCCCAAGCUCUGGCUGACAUUUCCUGCAGCGACUGCAACAUGCAGUUCUGGUCCUGCAGUGCACAACACAAGAAAAGCCUUCUGUGUCCACGCAGAGCUUUACUGCAGACAGCUGACACAGCACACGGAGUCUGGGGGCAAGAGGAAAAGUCCCCACGUGUAUCUGUUACCUUUUGUAUUCUGCAGCAAUGCAAACAAGUGCCGGCGUUUGUCCUCACUCCUCUCCCUCAGCUCUGCUGUUAUGAACCCAUCGAAGGCGGUAGAUCUGCAGUGGGUGACAAAGGGGCUGCACAGCCCAUGGCCAUUUGUUUCUGCAAAAUCAUCUGGAUAAUGGAGGCUCCACCGUCGAUGCAGUUUAUAUCGAAACACCAACUGGGGAAAGAGGAUUUCUCAUUCCUUACUGUGCAAGAGGAAUAAAACAGCUUUCAUCUAAUUUUCCAAAUGGUGCUGAUUCCACGAGGGCCUGCUGGCAAUGUACGAAGGACCUGGGAGGAAAGGCGAUGCCGCGGUCCAUGGAACAUCUUUGCAUUUCAGAGUUCGAGAGGAGUCACAGUGCCGUCUGAUGCCAGGCAGGCACACGCGCAGCCCGCGCCCACGCAUCGCGCCCAUGGCGGCGGCGGCGCCCCGCGUUCCGGAGCCAGGAGGGCGGAGGGGUGGGGGGGGCGGGCAGCGCUGCUGGAGCUGCUGGCGGAGGGCUCCAUCUACUGCUGCGCAGAGAGAAUGCUAAGGUAGCUGCCGCGGCUUUCUCUUUUCCUCUCCCCGCGGUGAAAGGCUGCUCGAUGCCGUGCCCUCUUCUCGCCCCUCUUCUUACUUUGCCGUUUAGAGCCUCCCUCUCCAAAAGCCGUCCCCUGCCCAGGGCACUGCGGGGGUUCGCAGGUGGGGACGGUCCGCACCCAGCUGUCGUUAAGCAGGAGGCAGACAAAGGACGGAGAAAAGUGGCACGGGAACAAAGUGGUUUUUCCAUCCAUGUACGGAAUCAGGAGCAGGAACUGGCCGUGAUUUCUGGGCCCUGUCUCUGGUAGGAGAGGGUUCGCUGCAAAGGCUGCAGAGGUAUUUGGGAGGACUGCAGACAGCGCUUGCUCUAGAGAUGCAGAAGUGAAGUCCAGGAUGUGCGCAGUGCUGUGGCUCUGCUUUGUUUGCUGUGGUGUUAUUUCUGAAAUUGCUGUAUUUUAGACAGUCAGGGAAGAGCUCCUCGUGCAAAUACACAUAGGUCAGAACUGAGCCCUACACAAAACCAGAUCCCUCUUCUACAUGGCCCAGGGCUGCAAGGACGUGUGGGGAUAUGUCUGGGUGUGAAUUCUGCAUGACAUUUUCCCUUCAGUACUUUGAACUAAUGUUCCACUCUGCCCUUUGGAUUAUGCUUUUAAUAGUGGUAAUGCAGACCCAAAGCGGAGUAUUUUCCACUGACCUUUACUAUUGCAAGUGGCAAACCAAGGGCUGCUGUUCACAUGCCAGUUGUGCUGGCCUGAGGCACACGUUAUAUAUAACCACUGCUGGCCAGUUUGAAUUGUUCAUAAAAGAACAAAGGAGUUCAGUUCUAGAAAAAAAAAAAUCAGAAAAAUUCAGGAUUUGUAACGUGACCGUGUGUUUUACAAAUAAAAAGCACUGGUUUCCAUUGCAAGUGAUUAUCUGACUCUAAAACACCAUUACUCUGUGCUUACAGGGAGCAUCAGAAGGUUCUAGAUUCUUAGAUUCCCACGAGGACUUAACUGGUGAUCAGUCCGUGCUGGUGUCAGGAAGAGUUCGUGUUCACAUUGCUUAACUGUGAGAGCUCAUCUGAAGUCAUGGGAAUGGACGAUUUGGACUGGAGUUCAGCCUGGCACAGCAGAGAACAGUUCUGUCCCCAGUGCUUUCCAUCUUUCUUGGUGACACAUCCCCACAGCUCCCCGGUACGCCCACUGGCACCACAUCUGUGCUCCUUGGUCUGCCUUAAAAAUGUACUCAAUGGUGAUUUUUUUAUUUUUAUUUUUUUGACUGAGUUCUUCCUUACCACGAAACUGAAUCGCCCACUCCUCGGAGGUAAAAAUGGGGCUCUGAACUCAAGAAAGAUGAUUGGGUUGAGGGUGUUGAGUGUAUCAGGAGCACAAAGGACAGCGCUGGCCUUUGUUUUACAUAUGCUAUGCAUGUGCUUAGUGCAUCUAUAUGCGUGUCUGCUUUGGAUCCAGAUUUUGAGGGAUAUGGGAGGCACUGAGGACAGCACAAGUCAUGGCAUAGUCAGGCUUUAGUUUAGAGGCUGUGCCGGGCUCUUCUGCUUCUGAAGUGGGCACAUAGUUGCUGCCUUUCCCUCUGCAAGCACGGGUAGCUGCCAGCCUGCAGCAGGGUGUCUGCCAUGGCGGGGAUGGGCCCUCUGCUCUUUGGAGCCUGAGCACAGCUUUGCAAGUUCUCCCAGUGACAAAUGCAUUCCUAGCAUUGGAUUUUCCUGUGAACAAUGAUGUGCUACCUGAGCACCCUAUGUGCAGUUGUUAUACUAAUUAGCUCUGUACUUGUGUGUCGGUAAUUAUUUGGUAAUUCAGAGCUUCAUGUAAAUUUUCUGAAGUGUCUUGUUACUGUUUGAAUAUGUAUAGCUGCAAACAUCUCUGUAAAAUUGUAGCAUCGUUGCAUGUAAUCGUAAAUCAGAGCUCCCAGCACCACCCUCUCCAAAGCCAUCAUGUGCUUCCCCAUUCCAGAGCAUCGCAUAGCCGCUCCAUCCCUGGUUGCAGCAACACCAGGAACAGCAGAAAUGCUUCUCUGACACAGCUGCCAACAAUUAAACUGUGUGAGGCUUUGCUGGUGGAGGUUACGAAGAAGCCCUUAGAAAUCUGAAACAGCUUUUGAAAACAAGCACUGAAAAUAUCUGCCAGAAGCCAAGGAAUAGAUUACAGAUGGCAAACUGAUGUCUCCCGGACUGUCGGGGAAUGAUUUGGUUUGACAAAUGGCUGUGAUCUACUCUGGAGCUGUGCGGAAGAGGAACCAUCAGGCUGCAGUGUACAGAAAUAAUCAAGCAAGAUUAAGCAUGCCUGGUGCUGAUAUUUAUGGGCGGAUCUGUCCUUACAGCCCAUGGCCAGAUCCCUUACAGCUGGGAGAUGGAGGGCCCUGCAACACUGCCGCUUAAUUUCUGUGCCAUGUCUGUCAUCUGUGAACCCUUCAGACCUCCUCUAAGGGCUUCUUUGAAGAGAGAAGGAAAGGCAGCAUCAUUCACCUAUGGACCGGAGCACAGACGUGGUAAGAGAGGCUGCAGACAUUUCUGUCUGUGAUGCAGAACCUUGCAAAGCUUUCUUCAUUCACACCGUAUAAGUAAAUUCGGCCUGUGCCUAACUGCUGCAAACCUUUUCAAAGCAAAUAUAUUUGUACAAAGGAAUUCAGUAACAGAAAUGGAAUUUGCUCGUGGAUCAGAUUACUGUUAUUUCUGGCUGGAAGCAGUACCAGAAAUACUUGCAGGGAUUUCCACUUUGCCUUUGGAAAGAGGUUGCGUGUGUUGUUGGUAUAAAAGGAGCUCCGUGGGAGGUUAAUUCACGUACACAAAGAGACGGGAAAGGAGAUGAGACCAGCGAGGCUGUCACAGCCCUGGAUGUGGCUGCUGAGCUGUGCAUUGUAAUGCUCAGCCCCAGCCCACUUCUGAAACGCAGCUCUUCAGUUGUUGCUGUGAGCUGCAGUCACUGCUGUUUGGGAAGAGACAUUUGGAGCCCUGAGUCUGAGCUUUGUACGGCACAGUUCCCUCGAGGGCUUUGCCAGAUAACUUCAUGUAGAGGAUGCUAAAUGAAGUGUUAUUUUGAUAGUUCUUUGAGCACUGGUCAUUUGUGACGCUGCUCAAAGUGCUUUUACCUUAGAGCACAAACCUACAUCUGAUGGGAGCUUUGCGCCGGAGGUAUCUGGUGUUUUAAAAUAGAUGGAGUUGAUCAGAGUGAUCUGUAUUUUGCAACCAGCUUUAAACAAAGCCUCAUUUCAUUUCAAAGUGCUCUCCUGACCGACAGGCACUUGUGGAGAUGGACAGACGCACAGAGCUGCGGAGGGGCCGGUGCUGGGAUGGCAGCCGCACAGCCCGCCAGCAUGGCACCAAGUGCCUUUGGCCCCGGGGUGCUGGGACAGCGGGCAUCACCGGCAGAGAGAGGUGUUGGGGAAUACUGAGGACAGCCAUGCACUGCAGACUUCGAGUAGAGAAGUACCCAAUCUCUCUUAAUGUACAUGGAGUGUUCCAGAAUGCAGUCAGAGUCCUCUGAUAACAGCCCCAAACGUGGAUCAAAAUGGUGGGAUGAACCGAUGUCUGCGGUAUCGUAUCAAAGAACAUUUCUGUUCCUGGCAAAGUGUGAAUUCUAAAGCAAAGAAGUAUGAAAAGGUUUUACUUCAGAAAGGUGAGGUCUGCCACUAUGCCAGCGGGGUUGGAAAUGUUACUUUUCCCCCCAUAAAUGCACUUGGUAUCUCCGAACACCCAGUGAAGGCUUCUCAGCUGGCAGCAUUUUCCCGCCAUCUUGGCUGAGUUUCUCCAUCCCCCUGUAAGGCCCGGGCACACAGGAGUGCGUCACCGAGGAGUGAAUGUUUGGGCUCUUCUGAAAUGCACGCAGACUCGGUGCACCCCAGGGAGCACUGCAGGAGCACAGCCACAUCCUGUGCCCACACCGAGUGCAGGGAGACAGGAGGGAAAGGUGUCAUACAGAGCACUGAGCUAAAAAUAGAGCUGUGGCAAUCUCACACAUUGCAGCGAGCGCACUGCAGGCAGGAGAGCACACACAGCUCUGGCACUGAAAGCCUGAGAGGGUCUGCACGUUGCCAUAGGCUUCACAGCAGGACAUCAGCAUGCUUCUCUCUCUAAGAUGGAGGCAGAGGGAUUGCUUGCUUCUUCGUUGCUACGGUUUUGCAGCUGUAAUGGCAGUACGUUGGCACUUACAGGUCUUGUUCUGGAUCUUAACCAUCGCAUAAUUAAACAAGGCGUCUGUGCCUCAGCCUUACACAUGUGCUGUACCCUUCUGAGGCCAAUGCAAAAGCUUCCAUGCUUCUGAGCCGGUUUUGUUGUGCACUGUAAAAGAUUUUGUGAUUUACAUACAAGUCGUACGCUCACCCUCUGCAUGCUCAGCACCGCAUCCAUUGGAGAAACUGCCACAGAAAGCAAAGGUUUAUGUGAGUGCAAUCUUUAAUGUUUGUGAGCUGGAACCACAGCACGGGUCUUCUGGCUUCAAAAACAGAUCCCACUGAAGUUCUGCUGACCCAGAGCAGCUGAGCUUUAUUACAGAGAAGCAUUACUCUCUGGGGAAUUGCAGGUGGGAACACAGCAUCCUUCUGGUUUCACAUUGCACACAGCUGCGCAGGGGGAUGCUCACGUAGGCUGAAAGAUGACAAAAUGCCAUCACAGGUUUUCCCCUGAAAAGAAAACUCCUUGAAGCUGGCUUUUGCUGUUCCUGAGAUAUGUCCAAGGUGGUGGUCACAUACCAGUCAUUGCAGGUCCUUCUGAAGGUCCUUUUGAAGCUUUUUUUCUCCGGGAGAAAAGUCCAUCUGUAUUAUUUGUGCUGGUCUGAGCUUCAAACAGAAUGGCUGCUAGGAACUGACAGCAGAGCCUGGUAUGUAGCAUGGCCCUGUGAAGGAGUGGAUAAUCCUCCGUCCUUAAAUAUAGCUGCUAUUUGUGUUGGCAGUGUGCAGACUUCCAGGGAUUUCACCAGUGAUCCCAGACAUAGCACUUCAAAGUGCUGCUGAGGAAAUAUCUAUGCAAAUUUCGUUCUAUUUCAAAACUUCUCAACUAAAUAACGUGAGUGGGCAAAUAUGUUGCAGCCUAUGGAAGCUUAAUAUAGAAAAAUGUUCAAAAGGAAAAUAUCCAGAGAGUAUUUUUUCUAUUACACAGACCUGGAAACUGUAUCAGCUCAUAGCAGGUGGUGAGAUUAAGCCCCUGCAGUCCAAAGGGAAACUGAGCAACCUACUUCAUCUUUCAAACUUUCACAAUCUGUGGGCCAGACAGGAUCCACCCAAUGGUCCUGGAGGAGCCGGCAGAAGAAUUCCUUCAUGGAAGGGCUGUCAGACACUGGGAGGGAUUCCCUGGGGCAGCUCCAUCCCUGGGGGUGUUCAGGAGGUGUGCAGACAUGGAGCUGAAGGAUGUGGUUUGGUGGUGGGAUGCAGGAGGGCGGCUUGGUGGCUGGAGACCCUUUCCAGCCCAGAUAAUCCUGUGGUUCUAUCAUUUUUUGAAUUGAGGGGUUAUACCAAUUGUUCUUUCAGCUUAGUUUUCCCCAGUUAAUUUCUUUUUCACGUCAAACACACUUUGCAGGCACCACACCAAAACCCAUUCUAACAUUUCUGUAAGCUUGAUGCAAUGGCUUAGUUGCCAGCCAGCAGUCAGCAUACUGGUAAUCACUGCCCCUUGUCCCAUGUGGCCCCCCCAGUAUUAGCAAGGAGCUGGGGCCUAGGCUCUGCAGGUGUUGGCAGCAGUGUACAGCAGCAUACGGCAGCAUGUGGCCGUGCAUGGCACAGCCCGGCAGCACAUGGCAGCAUCUGGCUUGCUGAGCAUAUUGCAAGAGGGGACAUGCUGCAGAGCUAGGCCUUGCCAGCACCAGUGGGACCUUUUUUGCUAAUACUACUUGUAGUGGCAGUGCUAAGUCACGGCCUGAAACAGUGACUGAGCACCUAGUGGGAAGGCAGGGCCAACCCAGGGGAGCUCAGCUGCAUGCAGUGCACCUGAAUGACUAGAAGGGUGGAGCCAGGAUCACCCCUUCUCAGACCUCAUUUAAGGGUUGGCAAUGGAGGUGAGGGUAUCUCUUGCUGGAGAUGAGCAGCUCUUUUCCUUUAUUUCUGCAUCUAUGGCUGCUGUGUUUGGUCUUGUUCUCACUUUCUGUAGCCAGAGACUUUGCCAUUCUGCUUUUGUCAUCUCAUUAGAGCAUUACACCACUGCACUGUGAAUCCGUUUCAUGCCAGAAGGGUGCUAAGAAGUUACCUUCCUCUCUGCAGGAAUGCCAAUGAAUUUUCUUGUAUCAAUGAGAUCCACAGGACCGCUAAGUUCCUUUCUUCAGUGUAGAUGUUUAUAACAAAUGUUCUUACACAACUCAUGGCAUCCUCUGCUCAAGGUCUUCACUGCUGUCCCUGUAUCUGUGCAUUCCUCAGACUGGGCCCCAACUUCUUCCAGUUCUCCUAUGCAAAGCAAACACACUGAGGAGCCACAUCUGCACAAAUAGCAGCAGGGCAGUGUCGGGUUUCCUCCCCUUCUUCACAGUUGUUUGAAAAAGCAGCUGAUGGUGUUAAUGGAAUCAGAUGUUCUGUGAGCCUGGGGAGCAGAGGUUGCACUGUGACCCUCUGUUCUGUAACCACCGAACAGACACUGAUUAAAUUCUCUUAGUUGUGUUCUAAAGAGAUUACUUUGAAACGAAAUCAGAGCUGAAUGAAACAGAGCAGGUGCCCGAUGAGGAGUUGAUAUGAUAUAGUCCAUAUCUGUUUUGAUCUCAAAAGCCAUGUUGUGUUUUCGUUGUUGUUGCUUUUGUGGGAUGAAAAGUCCAAAUAGGGCUCGGGAAUGUCUCUAUUAUUUAGUUGAAAUGUUUCAGUAUUUCUGGAAUCAGUAGCAGUCAGUUUGUUCCUUGAACUGCCUUCACAAUCAGUUUUCAGUUUAAGUUUCAGUUUUCCCUGGGAGCUGCACCUUUUGGUCGGUGCUUCAGAACUUGAAUGUGCAAGUGUCAGCAUCCCCAGGCAGAGGGCAGCAGCUCACAGCCUGGUGACCCACACAUCUGCAUUGCAUUAGGGGGAACACAAUCGCCCUGGAAGCUCUGCAGCUCCAACACUGCACACCAGUGAGGGGAUGCAGUGCAGCAUUUGCUCAAACCAAUGCUUAACAGCAUUUCAGACUAAUAAUAACAUUAUGAAAUGAAGUAAGUUGUUUUCGUUAUCUUAGCAAGCAGACGAACAUUUUCUGCAUUGUGUGGAAGCCGGUUUUCUGCCCUAACACCCUCCAACAGAAGACUUGCACCCAGGCCGUGGCAGGAUGGAGCCAUAGCAGGGGGUGGCGGGCAGGGCUGGGCAGGGGCUGUGUCUGGGUAUGCAGGAGGGCUGAGCUCCGGCACAGGAAGGUUUUGUGGCUGCAGUGGCAAGGGGAGCAUGGUGGGGCCCAUCAUGGAGCCUGAGGUGUAGAUGUCUGAGCCUGAUGAGGGUGCUGGGAGGUGCAGCAGGGCAGAGUGCUGCAGCUGUGCUGAAUGUCCUCUCCUUGAUGUCAGAAUACAGGGCUCUGGCUCACUCUGACGCUGACUGCUGCGAUCAGCUUGGAGUUAAUUGAACUAAAUGGGAAGUUUGCCAGGGAUGUGGUUAUUGUGGCUUGGUCAUUAGCACAAAGGCAGUGUACAGUUAGCUGCUGUUUGAUGCCUCAGGUGUUCGUGGUGACAGCAGUGAGUGGCUCUGCUCUCCAGAAGCAGUCUGAUCUGGAGGAGACAGCAGCCCUCCUGGCUCAGGAUGUAGGUACUGAAUGUUUGAAAUACAGAUAUUCCCCAUUGGAAUAAAUCUGUUUUAUUUUACAGAAUCACAGAAUGUCUGAGGUUGGAAGGGACCUCAAGGAUCAUGAUUCUCCAACCCCCCUACCACAGGCAGGGCCACCAGCCUCCCCAUUUAAUACCAGACCAGGCUGCCCAGGGCCCCAUCCAACCUGGCCUUGAAACUCAUCACUUACUUUGAGUAAUGUAAACUAUUGUGUAUGCUGGUGGUCCACCCUUGUACUCUUUGCAGUCCUUGCACACGGCCGUGGCUCUGGCUGGCAUCCGUUGGGGCAGCCUCACUGCACCCAUGCCAGCAAGCUGAACUUGGAGUGAAAUACAGAACAAAGCCUUAAUCUGGCGGUGCCGAUGGCUUCAUUGGGAAAUACUGACUGUAUUUUUAACAUAUACUGUUUUGUAGUGAUGAAUGCUUAAAGUCCUUCCUGUUGUCCGUAGCUGUUUCCCUCUGUACUGUGGUUAGCCUGAGAUCCUGAGCUGGAAUGAGCAGCAUGCGGAGAUCUAAGGCACAGUAAGCUUGGCCUAGAUGAUCUCAUGCAUGUCUGUAGGAAGGUAUAGAAACUUACUGGCAAUGCCAUGGAAUUUUCCUCUCUUUUGCCCUUUCAUGUGCGAAUGUUGAACCCAAAAAACGCCUUUUGUACCGGGGGGGGGGGGGAGGGGUGUUUUGCUGAUUCCAAAGUGAAAUGCUUGUGAAAUUGUACCUGCAGUAAAUAGAACUAUGACUGCAUACUGAAAUCAAACCUCCAGUAACAAUAUCAGGGCAGAGCUGGUACACAAAGUGGUCUUCAUAGAGACAGAGUCAGGCAGAUGGGAAACAUUACACCAGUUUUUCCUCAAGGGUAGCACUUAAGUAGUUCUCCACUUACAGAAAGGAAUCAUAGCAGGUUUGUAUCAAAGUAACUUCAGCCAAAGUUAUUUCUCUAAGAGGAGAUAAACAUCUCUUUUGGAAUUUCAUUGAUAACAUAUCAGAUAUGAUAAAUAUGGCACAGGAGUAAUGAGAGCCUUCAAAAGAUGCUCUUUGUCCCUGGGCCCUUCUCUGGGGAACACUGCGUCCAGAGGGGACACGCUGGAACAGCAGUUGCCUGUACAAAGCGCAGAAGCAGAUAUAUUCAAGUUACUGUAUUAAAUAAGUGUGCUGAUCACAGUAAUGCACCCUGCGCACUGCACUGAGCACCAGCAUCCCCAGCCCCACACCCAAAGGCUGCCAGGUUUCACUACUCAGCCCUUGUCCCUCCACUCCUCAGGAAGCAGCCAGAGUGGGGCAAGCAUCCGGCUCUCCAGGAGUGAAGUGAAGGGAAGCAAAUGUCUCUGUGCCCCAGCUGAUGCUUUGAGGAUGGGCUGUGAGCAAGCAGAACACGCUGUGUUGCACCAGGCCACAGCUUUUGGUGUGCACUCUCAUCCAGUCUGGCUGCUGGAAGCCACGCAGGCACAGCAGGAGUCCUGCAGGAGGGCUGAGAUGGGGCCAGCAGCCACACACCAUUGCCUUUGGGCCCCCCAGCACCACAGCAGUGAUCUGCUGAGCCAUCAUGGUGCCUCUGGCCCACCAGGGCCUCAGGACAGCAGCCUCCUCCUGUCCUCACGUCAGCCCAAGGAGAUGGGACGACGUGUUGGCAAAAUAGAUGAGCUCAGCACAAAGGGCAAAGAGUAUGGUGAGCUUUCUGUAUUGACUUUGCUUUGUUCUCACUAAGAAAAAUGCCCUGAGAGUGAUGAGCCCUAAUGCAUUAGCCUUAGCAGGACAAAGUGUCAGCCAAAAACAUCCUAGGAAAAAGAAAGGGGAAGCAUCUAAAUGCUAAAACACUCCAGCUGACCCAUGUUCCAUUUCCCUUUUCUCAUUGCAAAUGUGUGGCUCUCCUCACGUCCAACCACAGCACAGAGCUGGGUUUAUGGCUGGGCACAGCAUGGAGCUGGGCUUAUAGUUGGGCACAGAGCUGGGCACAGCACAGAGCUGGGCAGCCUUUCCUGCAGCAAGAUGCUCUCCUGGCAGGACACAGUCCCACUGACUGUGGCAAGGCUGGGGUGAAGGGAACAGAGGGCAGCAGCAAGCAGCUCUGCUCUCAGCCUGGCUGGCACUGCUGUCCAUAAGGCCUCUGCUUGCUCUUUCAAAUGUACCUUCAUAAUCUUAAAUAAACUGACACUGAAGCUCUAGGUAAAACUGCUACAAAUGUUAGCCUUGCUUUUUUUUGUGCUGCUGUUUUAUUUAUUAUUGGCUUUCCAUUCCAAGUCUGCUGUUCUCUGGUUGGAGCCUGUACUGCGCAUGAAGAAAGGAAAAGUAACUGGAACACAACCCACAGCCACGUCCAUUAAUUCUUGUGGGGAAGGGCUUUUGGACUGAGAAGUAUAAGAACCUACUUGAACGUGUAUUUGAAUGUCUCUUCCAUUCUCCAGGCAGCAGUGAGCUACGUGAACUUUGUAAGAGGAGGUGACUUCUGGCGGUAGCAGCUGUGACUCAGCCCUAAAGCACAGCCACAGGGCCAGGCUUUCUCACCCCCAGCCUGGGCUCUCUCAAGAGGCUCCAGCCCAGCUGCUGGCACACAGACGUGUUCAAUUCAGUAGAGAAGAGAUGUGAAUCUUUAUCUGAAAGAUUACGUACAGCACAGGAAAACUUGCCAGCAAGAAAAUAAUGUGAAAACAGAGAUGAAGUUGACUGGAGUCCUGAAUUACAGUCUAAAGGGCAGCCAAACUGAGGGAAAUCAUGCAGGAAUAUGGGGCAAGCCAGUCAGACACCCCUAGAAAGCCAUGUCAUUUUUUUCCCCAGCCUCAGUGGGCUUUUGUUUAACCAUUAAAGUAGCUGGACAAAUUACCUAGAAAUGUUUGACCUUUGGAAAGGCCUCUGAGGCACAGCUGCCUGCUGUUCUCUGAACUGGUUCAUGUGGUUCCCACUCGGAAUGGUUUUUGAGGUUCACCCAAGCGUGGAAAGGGGUCUGGUUGUAUCGGUGAGGGAACUGAGAAGAUAAACUUAGGAAGGAGUGAGAAAAGCACCAGGGAAUUUUACAUGUUAUAUUUGCAUCAAAGGAAGGAAAGGGCACACAAAUGUACCAACCUGAAGUAGCUCGUUGGCUUUGAACUUCAAAAGAAAGUUACAGAGCAAAGAGCUGAGGUAGCAGUGGCCUUUGGGACAGUCUGUUUCACAGAAUCAGGUAGGAACUACAGAAUGCAAUGCAUUUAGCUUUUUUAGCCGCAGGAAUUUUUUUUUUUUUUUAAUGGUAAAAAUAUAACAGAAAUGCUACAUUCCUGCAUUCCCCUUUCAACUUUAUUUUCCUUCUGCUCUUGCAGUCACUGUACACAGGAGGUUGCUUGGUUGUACCAUUUCAGAGCUCGCUGCAGGGCCUGGCCGUGCCCCUUCUGCUGCCAUUUCAG